ACCCACUGCGCGAAAUUUUAGCUUCAACUAUUACGUAUUGUAGCAGUUAAUAUUCUUCCCCCUUGCGUUGCUUCUUUCGACACCCUUUUCACCUUACCGCGAAUAUUCGCAUUCUUGUGUGUUUAGCUAAGUAUAGUACUCCCAGUUAUUUUUCCCUUCCAAUUCCAAACCCUUUAUUAUGGUUUUGCUCUUUUCUUGAUAACCAUAUAUUUGAUUAUAGGUGUUCAUCAUCGUCUCCAAAAUCCUUCCGCAGGGCAGAGCCCCGGAGAAACAGGUCUAGAAGGUUGAGAGGACCAUGGGUCAGCAUCAUCACCACCACCACCACCACGGCCAGUGCCAUGGAAGGCAUGACGGCCCAUAUGAUGAUCCAAUGUUGGCAUGUUGCUGCUGUCCCUGUUCGCUAGUUUCAUCCGUAUUCAGGAUGGUGAAGAGGUGCCUUUUUGUAGCUUGUUACCCAGUGUUGCAGUGUUUUGGAUGGGAUGAUCACCGACACCACCAUCAUCACAGGCAUUUUUAUUGAUUUUUUUCCCCCGCGUUCUACUUCCAAUUGAAUAAUUAUUUUUAAUCAAAUCAACUCUCAGAAGCUUAAAGCUUCAAUACAAGCCAUGCUUCUUCUU